AAGCAAAGCCCGGAGAUGGGCAGGGAGGAGCAGAUGUGGGGGUGAUGGAAGAGACCCCAUAAGCAGGUCGGACAGGUCCAUUUUCUACAGAGGAACUGUUCAGCGCCCAAACUCCCAGCGUGGACAUACUGGCUCCUUUACUGCAGGAAUGAGCCUGAGUUUCUGGUCUCAGAUUCAGGCUACCAACCCCGACCCCCCUGGAGGGUUAAACAGCUCCGUUUUAGGAGACCAGGUGGAUAAAACAGUGCAAACAGUGGACUUGAUGCCAGGAGAGGUUCUCGGCCACGUUUGAAAAGAGGAAGUCUCAUUAGGAAAAGGAAAAGACGGGGAAAAGGGACCCGACUAAUACAGCGUCCUGCACAAAAUAAAAUGUGGCACAAGUGUGACACUGGGUAAAGAGUACUGAAUCAAUAACUAAUGUGUCUUUAUGAGCUGACUGCCAAUGUUGACUGAAUGUUGAUUACAUGUUAAUUGGAACACAAGGAACCUGGUACCAAAACCUAACUUUUAAAUUGCUCUGCAACUGUAAGAAAAAUUAAAUCACGAUAACCUAGGGCUUAAAAAAAAAAGAAAAGAAAAAAAGAAACAUCGUAUCAGGAACCAGGAGGAAACAGAUUUUUUUUUUUAAGUGAGGAGUAUGGAGAACAGUGUCUCAUGGUUUUCCCUGUACAAUGCCUCAUUAAGAGCAGAAAAGGCAGGUUGUAUUAGUCCCAAGUUACAGAUGAGAACACUGAGGCGCAGAGGGGUACAAAGCUCAUCUAGGGCCCAGGGCUGUUGCUGCCUCACCCCAGCCCUGUUCCAUUCCUCUGUAGGCAGAGAAAGCUAACAGGCACAGAAAGACUGGGCAACUGGGCCACAGAGGACGUCCAGCAGGGCAGGAGCUAUGUCGGGGAAAGAAACAGCACUCUCACUCAGAAAAGUUUAGGGCUGUACUUGGCAGGUUUUUAUGGAACAAAAUUUGCACCAUUGAUUCCGUGGCAAAUGAAAACCUCUCGUGGACAUUCUGGGCUUCAGAGAUCUGAAAUGUUUAAAUGAGGCAAAGCUGAGCUCAGGUGGUGCCUGGGGUGAGAAAACUCGGCCUCUUUUGCCUUCUCUCCCAUCUGUGGAAAUGCCUUUUACUUUGAACUACUUCCUCUCCUUGCAGGGAGGAUGUUGCCCAAGCCUGCGGUUGAUACAGCAUCUCUGAGCAGGGGAGAGAGGCGGGGACAGUUCACAGGGCCACACUCAGGAGAACGCACCACCCGAAGGGGGAACUUGACCACCAAAUCAUGAGGCGGCAAUUGGCCCUGAGGCUGCCUCAAGGUAGCAGUGGUAUCGUCUUCCUGUGAUUGGCCCACUGCCCCUGGUGGACUGGUAUUUCUGCCUUCAGUGAACAAAUGUGAUGGCAGGGAUUCAAGGUAGCUCAUUGGAAAUGGCGGGUUAUUGCAAAGAGAUGCAUGACCUGGACUCCAGAAGCCUCCAGGAGAGGGGCUAGCUCUAGAAAGUAGCAACCUCUCUGUGGUCUCUCUCAUGGCCUCUCCUUCCACCUAAGACAGCUACUCCUGCCCCUGCCCCACUGUCUGCACCCAUGACUUUUCACCUCACACAAGGGCCAAUAUG